GCCUUGUUGGCUAAGUGGUAUAGCGUCUCACUAGUAAGCUGGUGACAUGAGAAGAUCGGCGGUUCGAUUCCGCCACGAGGCA
rfam:Colletotrichum sublineola strain TX430BB Scaffolds1587.1, whole genome shotgun sequence.